rnacentral:rRNA from 1 species
ACAGCAGUCGCCACGGUAAUACGUAGGUGGCAAGCGUUGUCCGGAAUUAUUGGGCGUAAAGGGCUCGCAGGCGGUUUCUUAAGUCUGAUGUGAAAGCCCCCGGCUCAACCGGGGAGGGUCAUUGGAAACUGGGAAACUUGAGUGCAGAAGGGGAGAGUGGAAUUCCAUGUGUAGCGGUGAAAUGCGUAGAUAUAUGGAGGAACACCGGUGGCGAAAGCGGCUCUCUGGUCUGUAACUGACGCUGAGGCUCGAAAGCGUGGGGAGCAAACAGGAUUAGAUACCCCAGUAGUCCUGUCUCUUAUACA